rnacentral:misc_RNA from 1 species
CAGAGAUCUACCCAGAACUGGAGAGAAUUGUGUUGGCACAGACUCGUGAUUGUCUUAAAAAGCUGAUCACUUUAGGAGAAAUAAAAGAAAAAAAAUGUUCUUUAAUGGUGCGAGAUACCGAUUCAGGUAGACAAAACAAUGUGAGCAGCAAUGGUGUUGUCAAUACUGUUCCACCUCCUCCACCACCACAGCAGAAGGUUGACUCUGGAACUACUGCUGCUAAUACCACACGUCCUAAAGUUCAUCCCCCAGAUGGAAAAUAGGGACGUGAAAGAAAAAUCUGAAAAAAACUGUAAAAAUUUUUAGAAUGAGAUUUAUCUAUAGAUGCUGAGUCUUUGUAUUGUUGGGCUUUUCUUCUUUGGGUUUCUCUUCGAUGCUGUGACAAAGUAAUUUCAGGCCUCCCGUUAGAAGUAAGCAGCCCUACUGAUAUAACUUUUUGCUACAAUAUUUCCUUGGUAUAAGG